rnacentral:rRNA from 1 species
AAAUUGAAGAGUUUGAUCAUGGCUCAGAUUGAACGCUGGCGGCAGGCCUAACACAUGCAAGUCGAACGGUAACAGGAAACAGCUUGCUGUUUCGCUGACGAGUGGCGGACGGGUGAGUAAUGUCUGGGAAACUGCCCGAUGGAGGGGGAUAACUACUGGAAACGGUAGCUAAUACCGCAUAACGUCGCAAGACCAAAGAGGGGGACCUUCGAGCCUCUUGCUAUCGGAUGUGCCCAGAUGGGAUUAGCUAGUAGGUGGGGUAACGGCUCACCUAGGCGACGAUCCCUAGCUGGUCUGAGAGGAUGACCAGCCACACUGGAACUGAGACACGGUCCAGACUCCUACGGGAGGCAGCAGUGGGGAAUAUUGCACAAUGGGCGCAAGCCUGAUGCAGCCAUGCCGCGUGUAUGAAGAAGGCCUUCGGGUUGUAAAGUACUUUCAGCGGGGAGGAAGGGAGUAAAGUUAAUACCUUU